rnacentral:lncRNA from 13 species
CUUGUAAGUCAGCUUUGCAGAUAAUCACAUGCCUCAGGCUUGGAAAAAAUUGAUGGCAGAUCAAUGGUCAGGAACAUGAACUGUACUCAUUUUUGACUGUGCAGUGCCCAGUGUUGGCUGAGAGUAUCAAGAUGUGGAUGAGAGGUGAGGUGACUGGGACACUACUUUGGAGUGGGCUGGUAAGGUCGUGGCAUUAUCUGCAAGUGAUAUGAGAUUGAGGAGGGAAUCCAUCACAUCAUGUAGGAGUCAUUGUUUCUCUAAGGCCACUGACUUACCUUCCAAGAAUGAUAGCAUUACAUCACUGAGUAACUGUGAGGAUUAA